GAUGAACGCUAGCGACAGGCUUAACACAUGCAAGUCGAGGGGCAGCGGGGGCGAAGCUUGCUUCGCCUGCCGGCGACCGGCGCACGGGUGAGUAACACGUAUGCGACCUGCCCCCCGCAGGGGGAUAACCGGGAGAAAUCCCGACUAAUACCGCGUAACGCCGCGGACCUGCAUGGGUCUGCGGCCAAAGGAAGCGAUUCCGGCGGGGGAUGGGCAUGCGGCGCAUUAGCUAGUCGGCGGGGUAACGGCCCACCGAGGCGACGAUGCGUAGGGGUUCUGAGAGGAAGGUCCCCCACACUGGUACUGAGACACGGACCAG
rnacentral:rRNA from 1 species